CAUUACCUAGAGUUGCGGGCUUUGCCUGCCAUCUCUUACCCAUGUCUUUUGAGUACCUUCGUUUCCUCGGCGGGUUCGCCCGCCGAUUGGACAAAACUUAAACCCUUUGUAAUUGAAAUCAGCGUCUGAAAAAAACAUAAUAGUUACAACUUUCAACAACGGAUCUCUUGGUUCUGGCAUCGAUGAAGAACGCAGCGAAAUGCGAUAAGUAGUGUGAAUUGCAGAAUUCAGUGAAUCAUCGAAUCUUUGAACGCACAUUGCGCCCCUUGGUAUUCCAUGGGGCAUGCCUGUUCGAGCGUCAUUUGUACCUUCAAGCUCUGCUUGGUGUUGGGUGUUUGUCUCGCCUCUGCGCGCAGACUCGCCUCAAAACGAUUGGCAGCCGGCGUAUUGAUUUCGGAGCGCAGUACAUCUCGCGCUUUGCACUCACAACGACGACGUCCAAAAAGUACAUUUUUACACUCUUGACCUCGGAUCAGGUAGGGAUACCCGCUGAACUUAAGCAUA
rnacentral:rRNA from 1 species